CACUCACAUUGAUAAAAAAACGUUCAAAAGCGUGAUGUAAAAAUCACGUUCAUGUUUGGUUAAAAAACAUAAGAGUUAAGUAGUUCGAAAUCAGAAAAAAUUCACUACUUACUUACUUAACCUUUCCAAAAACCCUUCCUGUCAACGCCUCUCUUUCCCAUUCUUUCUCACCUUCCUUUUCUCUCUCUCUCUGCCUUUGAUUCUCUUUUCUCAUGCUUUGAUCCUAGUCGUCGAUUUCUCUCAACCAUCUCUUCUCUUCCUACCCUUGAUUCUCUCUUCUCAUGCUUUGAUCCUAGUCGUCCAUUUCUCUCUCACCAAUCUCUUCUCUCCCUACCCUUGAUUCUCUCUUCUCAUGCUUUGGCCGACUGCAAAGAUUUGGACACGGCCGCCUGGCCCUGCUAACCAAAUGUUGUUGUUGUUGUUAAUGUUAUUAAAAAAAAAGGAGGCAGAGGAGAAAAAAAACAAUGCAAACAGAAUUUGGAGUUUUCUCUGAAAAUUUCCCUUACCUUGUAAGCAUUUC
rnacentral:lncRNA from 1 species